AAAGGAAUAGACGGGGGCCCGCACAAGCAGUGGAGUAUGUGGUUUAAUUCGAAGCAACGCGAAGAACCUUACCAGGGCUUGACAUCCCGCGCAUAGCCAAGAGAUUGGUGAAGCCCUACGGGGCGCGGAGACAGGUGGUGCAUGGUUGUCGUCAGCUCGUGUCGUGAGAUGUUGGGUUAAGUCCCGCAACGAGCGCAACCCCUGUCGUUAGUUGCCAUCAUUAAGUUGGGCACUCUAGCGAGACUGCCGGUGACAAAUCGGAGGAAGGUGGGGACGAUGUCAAAUCAUCAUGCCCCUUAUGUUCUGGGCUACACACGUACUACAAUGGCCGGUACAACGGGCAGCGAAGGAGCAAUCCGGAGCGAAACCCCAAAACCGGUCUCAGUUCGGAUUGUGGGCUGAAACCCGCCCACAUGAAGUCGGAAUUGCUAGUAAUGGCAGGUCAGCAUACUGCCGUGAAUACGUUCCCGGGCCUUGCACACACCGCCCGU
rnacentral:rRNA from 1 species